AACGAACGCUGGCGGCAUGCCUAACACAUGCAAGUCGAACGAAGCCUUCGGGCUUAGUGGCGCACGGGUGCGUAACGCGUGGGAAUCUGCCCUUGGGUUCGGAAUAACAGUUAGAAAUGACUGCUAAUACCGAAUGAUGUCUUCGGACCAAAGAUUUAUCGCCCAAGGAUGAGCCCGCGUCGGAUUAGCUAGUUGGUGAGGUAAAGGCUCACCAAGGCGACGAUCCGUAGCUGGUCUGAGAGGAUGAUCAGCCACACUGGGACUGUAGACACGGCCCAGACUCCUACGGGAGGCAGCAGUGGGGAAUAUUGGACAAUGGGCGAAAGGCCUGAUCCAGCAAUGCCGCGUGAGUGAUGAAGGCCUUAGGGUUGUAAAGCUCUUUUACCCGGGAUGAUAAUGACAGUACCGGGAGAAUAAGCCCCGGCUAACUCCGUGCCAGCAGCCGCGGUAAU
rnacentral:rRNA from 1 species